rnacentral:rRNA from 2 species
GGGUUGUGAGGUUAAGCGACUAAGCGUACACGGUGGAUGCCCUGGCAGUCAGAGGCGAUGAAGGGCGUGCUAAUCUGCGAUAAGCGCCGGUAAGGUGAUAUG